AGCAGCCGCGGUAAUUCCAGCUCCAAUAGCGUAUAUUAAAGUUGUUGCAGUUAAAAAGCUCGUAGUUGAAUUUCGGGAUCAGUUGGUCGGUCGUGCCUCGGUACGUACUGGUCAAAUUGAUUCCUACCUUCUGACGAACCACGAUGUCAUUAAUUUGGUGUCGUGGGGAAUCAGGACUGUUACUUUGAAAAAUUAGAGUGUUUAAAGCAGGCUCGCGCUUGAAUACAUUAGCAUGGAAUAAUGAAAUAGGACGUUUGAUUCUAUUUUGUUGGUUUCUAGGAUCGACGUAAUGAUUAAUAGGGAUAGUUGGGGGCAUUAGUAUUCAAUUGUCAGAGGUGAAAUUCUUGGAUUUAUUGAAGACUAACUACUGCGAAAGCAUUUGCCAAGGAUGUUUUCAUUAAUCAAGAACGAAAGUUAGGGGAUCGAAGACGAUCAGAUACCGUCGUAGUCUUAACCAUAAACUAUAGCCGACUAGGGAUCGGAUGAUGUUAAUUUUUAAUGACUCAUUCGGCGCCUUAAC
rnacentral:misc_RNA from 1 species